rnacentral:rRNA from 1 species
GACUAACGCUGGCGGCGUGCCUAACACAUGCAAGUCGAACGAAGCAGCAAUGCUUAGUGGCAGACGGGUGAGUAACGCGUAGAUAAUGUGCCCUCUUGCGGGGGAUACCGUUUCGAAAGGAACGUUAAUACCGCAUAAAGUCCUGAAGAGGCAUCUCUUUAGGACCAAACUUCCGGGGCGGGAGGAGCAAUCUGCGUACUAUCAGGUAGUUGGUGAGGUAACGGCUCACCAAGCCUACGACGGUUAACUGGUCUGAGAGGAUGAUCAGUCACACUGGAACUGAGACACGGUCCAGACUCCUACGGGAGGCAGCAGUGAGGAAUAUUGCACAAUGGGCGAAAGCCUGAUGCAGCGACGCCGCGUGGAGGAUGAAGGAUUUCGGUCUGUAAACUCCUGUCAGUAGGGAAGAGAAUGGACGGUACCUACUGAGGAAGCUUCGGCUAACUACGUG